AGCGAACGCUGGCGGCAGGCCUAGCACAUGCAAGUCGAACGAACCCUUCGGGGUUAGUGGCGGACGGGUGAGUAACACGUGGGAACGUGCCUUUAGGUUCGGAAUCACUCAGGGCAACUUGUGCUAAUACCGAAUCUGCCCUUCGGGGAAAAGCUUUAUCGCCUUUAGAGCGGCCCGCGUCUGCUUAGCUCGUUGGUGAGGUAAGGGCUCGCCAAGGCUACGAUCAGUAGCUGGUCUGAGAGGAUGACCAGCAACAUUGGGACUGAGACACGGCCCAAACGCCUACGGGAGGCAGCAGUGGGGAAUCUUGCGCAAUGGGCGAAAGCCUGACGCAGCCAUGCCGCGUGGAUGAUGAAGGUCUUAGGAUUGUAAAAUCCUUUCACCGGUGAAGAUAAUGACUGUAGCCGGAGAAGAAGCCCCGGCUAACUUCGUGCCAGCAGCCGCCGUAAAAC
rnacentral:rRNA from 1 species